rnacentral:rRNA from 1 species
UACGUAGGGUGCAGGCGUUAAUCGGAAUUACUGGGCGUAAAGCGUGCGCAGGCGGUUUCUUAAGUCAGAUGUGAAAGCCCCGGGCUUAACCUGGGAACUGCGUUUGAAACUGGGAGACUUGAGUGUGGCAGAGGGGGGUGGAAUUCCACGUGUAGCAGUGAAAUGCGUAGAGAUCGGGAGGAACAUCAGUGGCGAAGGCGGCCCUCUGGACCAGCACUGACGCUGAGGCACGAAAGCGUGGGGAGCAAACAGG